rnacentral:rRNA from 2 species
GAUACCCUGGUAGUCCACGCCGUAAACGAUGUCUACUUGGAGGUUGUGCCCUUGAGGCGUGGCUUCCGGAGCUAACGCGUUAAGUAGACCGCCUGGGGAGUACGGCCGCAAGGUUAAAACUCAAAUGAAUUGACGGGGGCCCGCACAAGCGGUGGAGCAUGUGGUUUAAUUCGAUGCAACGCGAAGAACCUUACCUGGUCUUGACAUCCACAGAAGAAUCCAGAGAUGGAUUUGUGCCUUCGGGAACUGUGAGACAGGUGCUGCAUGGCUGUCGUCAGCUCGUGUUGUGAAAUGUUGGGUUAAGUCCCGCAACGAGCGCAACCCUUAUCCUUUGUUGCCAGCGGUUAGGCCGGGAACUCAAAGGAGACUGCCAGUGAUAAACUGGAGGAAGGUGGGGAUGACGUCAAGUCAUCAUGGCCCUUACGACCAGGGCUACACACGUGCUACAAUGGCGCAUACAAAGAGAAGCGACCUCGCGAGAGCAAGCGGACCUCAUAAAGUGCGUCGUAGUCCGGAUUGGAGUCUGCAACUCGACUCCAUGAAGUCGGAAUCGCUAGUAAUCGUGGAUCAGAAUGCCACGGUGAAUACGUUCCCGGGCCUUGUACACACCGCCCGUCACACCAUGGGAGUGGGUUGCAAAAGAAGUAGGUAGCUUAACCUUCGGGAGGGCGCUUACCACUUUGUGAUUCAUGACUGGGGUGAAGUCGUAACAAGGUAACCGUAGGGGAACCUGCGGUUGGA